UUAAUGGCACGUUUGAUUUCC
ensembl:piRNA 21ur-4960 ncRNA